UACGGAGGGGGCGAGCGUUAUUCGGAAUUAUUGGGCGUAAAGGGCGCGUAGGCGGUCCGACAAGUCAAAGGUGAAAUCCCUCGGCUCAACUGAGGAACUGCCUUUGAAACUGUUGGACUUGAGUCCGGGAGAGGGUAGUGGAAUUCCCAAUGUAGCGGUGAAAUGCUUAGAUAUUGGGAGGAACACCAGUGGCGAAGGCGGCUACCUGGACCGGAACUGACGCUGAUGCGCGAAAGCGUGGGUAGCAAACAGG
rnacentral:rRNA from 1 species